rnacentral:rRNA from 1 species
GUCUACGGCCAUACCACUCUGAACGAGCCCGAUCCUGUAUGAUCUAGGAAGUUAAGAAGUGUGAGGCCUAGUUAGUACUUGGAUGGGAGACCACCUAGGAAGACCAGGUGCUGUAGUCA